rnacentral:rRNA from 1 species
GACGAACGCUGGCGGCGUGCUUAACACAUGCAAGUCGAACGGAAAGGUCCUGCUCUUGUGGGGUGCUCGAGUGGCGAACGGGUGAGUAACACGUGAGUAACCUGCCCUUGACUACGGGAUAACUUCAGGAAACUGGGGCUAAUACAGGAUAGGAGCUCCUGCCGCAUGGUGGGGGAUGGAAAGUUUCGGCGGUUGGGGAUGGACUCGCGGCUUAUCAGCUUGUUGGUGGGGUAGUGGCUUACCAAGGCUUUGACGGGUAGCCGGCCUGAGAGGGUGACCGGCCACAUUGGGACUGAGAUACGGCCCAGACUCCUACGGGAGUCAGCAUUGGGGAAUAUUGCACAAUGGGCGGGAGACAAAUACAGCAACGCCGCGGGCGGGAUAACGGCCUUCGGGUUGUAAACCGCUUUCGCCUGUCACGAAGCGUGAGUGACGGUAUUGGGUAAAGAAUCACCAGCUAACUACGUG